rnacentral:lncRNA from 1 species
GGAAUAUUACGGACUCUAAAAAUAGGUGCUAAGUAACCACUCUGUCAGGAAAUGAUGUAUCACAAAGUUAAGCUUUCCGCUUAGGGAAUGUAAAAGGACUUUUCUUUUUCUCCGUUGUGUUCUGUCUUACGGGGGAAAGAGUGCCUCUCAGAAAGAGAACUCAAAAUCUGUACACGGGGAUUCUGUACCUUCUUCAUUCAUAGCAUUUUAUUAUUAUUUUUUUAAUGAGAUGUUUUCGGAUCCUUGAGCCGACAGUAGAGUCUCUGUUAUAUUCUUGGACCAGGGUUCUGGGGACCGGAUGCCUAUGAAGCCAAGGCCUUCACAACAAAAUACCCACACCCCAGCCUCACCCUCACCUUCAACCGGUGCUUUUAUCAGCUCUUCUUUGCCAGGAGGAAACAAUUACAGGAAGAACGUUGCUCCUCCAAAGAGUCUCUACAGAGAACAGCUUGCAGCACCUGGAAGAAAAAUAGGCUCUGCUAAAGGAAUCUAUGUUAAGGGCACGGAACUAUGCACCUUAAAAUGUUGAACGUUACGGACGACCGUGCCCUCACUUCCGCCCCUCACUGUGGUAGGACACACACCGUACCUACAGCGCAUGCCCCGCCAGCGCUCCCAGACACGGCUUGGGCGCCACGCACGUGCCCACGUGCCCACGUCUGCCCGCUCGUCAUCCACGUCACCACGCUCUCUAUCGCCUUGGCAGUCACUGCUGCCUGCUCACGCUUUCCUGAUCUUGAUCUUGAAAUCACCUCCUUGUCUUCCGAGCUUGAAGGCGACUACCCUUCCCUCCCCUUCGCUUUACUUGAGACAUUUGGAGAAGAGUCAGCUCUUAGCACCUGUUCUGCACAAGUCCAGAACCAAGUAAGUAGCUUGUGGUCAUCAUUAAGGACAAGCAAUCUGAAAUACCAUAUUGUACCGUGAUUGGGAAAGAUGAGGAAGAAGGUAACAGUGAGUGAAAAGACCAUAUUGAGAUAUUGUUGGAAGCCUUUGAGGUGGAAUGACAACCAUCUGACUUUUAGCCACCAUGAUAUUCUUUGGAUGAACUUCGCCUUCAGUACAUGAACAACUAAGAUCUGCUUUAACCUUGGCUUCUUGAGAGAAACCUCAGCCUAAGGUUCACUGUGAUGCAGGAAUUAUAUUAAGCAUAUUUACUAACCAGUACGGCACAGGCACCAAUCCAUUGGAACAGCUACGGGACCAUAAACAGUGGUUCAGUUGGACCAGUGCCAGCCAGCUGAAUCCCAGCCCCACCUGCGGUGAUCACAUAUUCCCUUUUCACCUAAGAGACAGCACUCAAUACCAAAUACAAGACAGUCAGAUGCCCCUCAAUGCCAGUGGCUCUUAAGGCGGGGGCGAAAAG